rnacentral:lncRNA from 1 species
CGCCUUACGGCUUCUCUUUGGCAUAUCCAAAUUGCCAGCAGCACUGCUCUUGCACUUUGGGGCCAUUAAGUGAAACAGGGGUACCUGAACACAAGCCCUGUGAUACCUCGACAGUCGAUCUGAUAACUGAGAGGGCCACUAAGUGACUACGGGCUGGGAGCACGUACAAGUUUAGGAAGCACUUUGAUGUUGCCUCCUCUGAACCAGUCCUCGUCCCUGCUCGGUGAGUAGGCUUGACCAGCCCCAUUUGUCAGGUGAGGAAACCAAGAUUCGAAGAGGUUAAGUCACUGACCUGCGGCAUCAUCCAGCUGGUAUGAGGCAGAGAGAUGGACGCAGAAAUUUGAUUUUCUGGCUCAUGUUGGGCUUGUUUCUCUAGGCUACAAAGGCUUUAUUUAACAGGUGCAGAUGUUUUCAAAGGGCCACAGGCAGAAAAGACCAAGCCUUCUCCUGGGUUCAGUGGUUUGUGG